GUUUAGUUUUGUAAAAUAUGGCGACUGGAUACGAGAUUGUUCAGACCCUGAACAAGAAGAGGCUCCCAAACAAGUUCGAGAAUUUAGGGUACAACAGGACGUUUCUGAAUGGUAAGUAAACUUUGUCACUUCACUUGUUUUUACUUUGGCUAAGGUCAUACGGUCUAGUCGGUGACGAGAACAUCGCAAUGCUAGAUAAUAGUGUGUGCAUGUACGAGUAUGUCACAAAUACAGUGUGUUUAUGUAAGUUACUGUUUGUGAAAAGUGUUUAUGUAAAUGAAAGUAAGGGGAACGCCAUUACGCCUGCUACACGAGUAAAGCUUCAGCUGUAAAGUAAAAUGUUAUCUGACAACAGUAAUGGACCAAGCAGGUUGUAGUGGCUAAAGUUCCCUUCUUGUUAUCAGGAAUUCAUUUUCAUUCACUUAACCACUCUAGACAGAAAGAACGAGUCUCUACGCGUGUUUAGUGCGUUUAACAACGGUAGAAAACAGUGUUUUCGCUCCGUCUUUACUGAAUACUGAACAAUGAAAUAAAUCUCACAGUUCUUAUACAUUCCAUUAAUGCGCGAGCAGACUACGUCGUAGCUUACUACCAAGCGCACUCCAAAGCAACUCUUAUGUCCCAUGCAUAUCUGGUUAUUCUAAGCAAUGCAUGUACACUAAACAUAUAUUAAACUGAAAUGCAAAACUAUAAAAUACAAUUAUGCAGUCAUUAUAAUGAGUAAUCACUAAAUAUGAAUCUAAACAACAUAAUAUCUUAAUCUGAGUCUAAAUUACAAUGUGGAAAAUGGCACUAACACAGAUGUAGAACAUAACGUAACGUGUUUACCUCCGUUUAUUAGCGUUCAAACAUUGUUUUCUCAUUAUAUCGUUGUAUUUGUCAACUUGUGUCUGUAAUUGUAACACAACAUUCAAAUACACUUCACCUGCAAUGUUGUCACUUUUUAAAACUCUUUAUCUAUACAGGCGUAUUUGUGCCAAGUGUGAGCAAAUGCCUACAGAGCCUGAGAAUGGAUGCUGCAGGGAGAUGCCACAGGUAACAAGAAGACUACUGCAGCUUCCAAACCAACCAACGUGCAUCAUUCGGGACUUUUAGCUGUGUGAUUGAAUGUGUUCUCACUACAGAAUGCAUUCAACAUCUAUAGAGCAGACUAUGGGCCUUAUGUCUAAGGGGAAUAUAGCAUUCAGGAUUUCAAGUCUCCUCCCCUACCCACUUAACAUUCCUGGACAAAUUCAGACAGUUAAGGCUAUGUAAGAGGACCUGUAGGCUGAACAAAUAUGAUACAAAGGACAUUUUCAAGAAGCCGAAUGCAUACUCCUAACUCACUGCAAGACUUUAAAGAAGACCUGCUAAAGAGAUUGAUUAAUGUCGCAACCAGCCCAUUAUGUUAUGUUAUGGUAGGUUGUUGUGCUGUGCCUUGUCCUAAGAAUUUCAGUGCCCAGUCUGACCCUGUGUCAUUCUGUGCCUCUGGCAAUAAAAGACUUGUAACUUGUAAAUACAUAACUGCAACUCAAAGUAAAAAAAGUGAAUUGCCUAACAAUUUUGUUGUUGAAAUAAUUAAUUUGGAGCAACUUAAUUUUUUAAACGGUUGUCAACUUAAAAACUUGUGUUCAUAAUUAUGGUAAUUAAGUACAUGAAACUUAAAAAUUCCUUUUAAAUAAUGUGGAAAAACUAGUUGGAACAACUUAAUUUUCAUGAGUAAUCAACUUAAAAACGUUUGUUUAUGCUACCAAUUAUUAAGUUAGUGGUAGUUAAAAAUACUUUUGGUUGUAGAGG
ensembl:lncRNA